UACGGAGGGGGCUAGCGUUGCUCGGAAUUACUGGGCGUAAAGGGCGCGUAGGCGGCCUCGUAAGUCAGGCGUGAAAGCCCCGGGCUCAACCCGGGAAAUGCGUUUGGGACUGCGGGGCUUGAGGUCGGGAGAGGGCAGUGGAAUUCCCAGUGUAGAGGUGAAAUUCGUAGAUAUUGGGAAGAACACCAGUGGCGAAGGCGGCUGCCUGGACCGAUUCUGACGCUAAGGCGCGAAAGCGUGGGGAGCAAACAGG
rnacentral:rRNA from 1 species